rnacentral:rRNA from 1 species
GGGACGGCCCGGGAAACUGGGUCUAAUACCGGAUAUGACCUUCCUCUGCAUGGGGGUUGGUGGAAAGCUCCGGCGGUGCAGGAUGAUCCCGCGGCCUAUCAGCUUGUUGGUGGGGUAAUGGCCUACCAAGGCGACGACGGGUAGCCGGCCUGAGAGGGCGACCGGCCACACUGGGACUGAGACACGGCCCAGACUCCUACGGGAGGCAGCAGUGGGGAAUAUUGCACAAUGGGCGAAAGCCUGAUGCAGCGACGCCGCGUGAGGGAUGACGGCCUUCGGGUUGUAAACCUCUUUCAGCAGGGAAGAAGCGCAGGUGACGGUACCUGCAAAAGAAGCACCGGCUAACUACGUGCCAGCAGCCGCGGUAAUACGUAGGGUGCGAGCGUUGUCCGGAAUUAUUGGGCGUAAAGAGCUCGUAGGCGGCUUGUCACGUCGGGUGUGAAAGCCCGGGGCUUAACCCCGGGUCUGCAUUCGAUACGGGCAGGCUUGAGUGUGGUAGGGGAGAUCGGGAAUUCCUGGUGUAGCGGUGAAAUGCGCAGAUAUCAGGAGGAACACCGGUGGCGAAGGCGGAUCUCUGGGCCAUUACUGACGCUGAGGAGCGAAAGCGGUGGGGGAGCGAACAGGAUUAGAUACCCUGGUAGUCCACGCCCGUAAACGUUUGGGAACUAGGUGUUGGCGACAUUCCACGUUCGUCGGUGCCCGCAGCUAACUCAUUAAGUUCCCCGCCUGGGUAGUACGGCCCGCAAGGCUAAAACUCAAAGGAAUUGCACGGGGCCCCGCACAGCAGCGGAGCCAUGGUGGCUGAGUUCGACGCCACG